rnacentral:rRNA from 1 species
AUGCAUGUGAAUUGGCAAAUUCCCCAUGGCUUCAGUACACUCUCGUCCAGAUCCCACAUGCCAGCGAGACGAGUGGGUAUCAUAGACACAUCCGGCAACACAGAAAGUACAACCAAGCGACAUGCUUUAACAGCGAGCACCGAGUCCGACAAGUUGCAAGCAGCUAACAGCCAGAGGUCCAAUCCAGUUAAAACUGACGCUAGCCUACUACACAGAUGGUUGCAAAUGGUUGGCGAAAAAAGCAAGACAAGGCAGAUUUGCAGCAGUACAUACAUCAAUACACGCAAUCAUCCAGAAGUAUCUGAACAAAUGGCGAGGCAAUGGGCAUUCUGUCUCAGCUCCAAGAUAAUUUACUGUCUUCUCACUCCAGAAACGGCGCCAUCUUCGCAGAAACCAAUGCCACAACAUAGGUACAAUCUAGGUAGCACCAGAAACAUCUGCAAGACGAGCAAACAACUAGUGUUUAUGUAA